rnacentral:lncRNA from 1 species
GAACAUGGCCUUGGCCGACUGCCGCAGCCGCCGCUUGACGCUCCAUAAGCUCCUGGAGCCGAUCGAACCGCCCUGCUAACGCAGCAACUUGUGCCCGCAAUUCUUGCACCUCACUAGGCCCAGCUGGCUCUGGCGCCGCCGGGGGCACAGCUGACUCGGGCACCCCUAGGGGUGGUGCUGGAGCAGUCCUACGCACGUAGCGUCUCUUCGGUGCCAUUAACUCCUGAAACGCAAACAAUCGGUUAAUUACUUAACCCAACCACGUCUUCGC